GGGCCUAUAGCUCAGCGGUAGAGCCCCCGGCUCAUAACCGGUUGGUCCAAGGUUCGAAUCCUUGUGGGCCCACCA
rnacentral:tRNA from 4 species